ACUACUGCUGAGGAUUCUAGAACUCUGGCUCUAUUGCUCAGCUCCCAGUGGUGACACCAUUUGGUGUACCCAAGCCUGGGGGGCAGAGCCAGGCUGUCUGUAUAAGAACAAGCAGCAAAGAUACAUAUGGGAAAUGAUCUGAAGGAGGCCAGAAAUGUAAUAUGGCCAAAGAUUUCUCUUCCUGGGACCCCUUGCAGACUGUUAUGAAGCAGAUGGCAGGGAUAGGAGGUUAACUUUCCACUUGGAAGUGGGGGAAAAAUACCUUCGGCGUCUUUACACCCACACCAGAGAUUUCCAUGCAAGGAAACGGGCACUCAAUCUAGAAGCGACAAGCCCCCGCCACCGGCCAACCGUGACAGCCCGGCUCGUUCCUCAUUCUGACGUGGCUGCAAGCGACACUAGGCUCCUUGGCGACAACCUCAAGGUGAGUGGAAUACUGAAUAGCACACAGCGGGUGUGUUCGUGUGCAUAUGUGCGCGUGCACACGUGAUGGGGGCAGUAAUCCGUCAGGCUCCUGGCAGCCCUCGCAUCACAGGAGCAGAAGAAUGAGUCACAUGAG
rnacentral:lncRNA from 12 species